UGAACGCUAGCGGCAGGCCUAAUACAUGCAAGUCGAACGGGCGGUAGCAAUACCGCUAGUGGCGCACGGGUGCGUAACGCGUAACCAACCUGCCCAGAUCUGGGGGAUAGCCCGCCGAAAGGCGGAUUAAUACCGCAUAAACCCACAGUGUGGCAUCACAUAAUGGGUAAAGAUUUAUCGGAUCUGGAUGGGGUUGCGUAGCAUUAGCUAGUUGGCGGGGUAAUGGCCCACCAAGGCGACGAUGCUUAGGGGACCUGAGAGGGUGAUCCCCCACACUGGCACUGAGAUACGGGCCAGACUCCUACGGGAGGCAGCAGUAGGGAAUAUUGGGCAAUGGGCGAGAGCCUGACCCAGCCAUGCCGCGUGCCGGAUGAAGGCCUUCUGGGUUGUAAACGGCUUUUCUCAGGGAAGAAAACGGGGAUGCGUCCUCAACUGACGGUACCUGAGGAAUAAGCACCGGCUAACUCCGUG
rnacentral:rRNA from 1 species